rnacentral:rRNA from 1 species
UACGGGGGGGAGCAAGCGUUGUUCGGAUUUACUGGGCGUAAAGGGCGCGUAGGCGGUCGUGACAAGUCACUUGUGAAAUCUCCGGGCUUACCCGGAAAGGUCAGCCGAUACCGUGGCGGGCAGAGUGCAGAAGGGGCAACUGGAAUUCUCGGUGUAGCGGUGAAAUGCGUAGAUAAUCGAGAGGAACACCUGCGGCGAAGGCGGGUUGCUGGGCUGA